GAUGAACGCUGGCGGCGUGCCUAAUACAUGCAAGUCGAGCGAACAGAUGAGGAGCUUGCUCCUCUGACGUUAGCGGCGGACGGGUGAGUAACACGUGGAUAACCUACCUAUAAGACUGGGAUAACUUCGGGAAACCGGAGCUAAUACCGGAUAAUAUAUUGAACCGCAUGGUUCAAUAGUGAAAGACGGUUUUGCUGUCACUUAUAGAUGGAUCCGCGCCGCAUUAGCUAGUUGGUAAGGUAACGGCUUACCAAGGCAACGAUGCGUAGCCGACCUGAGAGGGUGAUCGGCCACACUGGAACUGAGACUCGGUCCAGACUCCUACGGGAGGCAGCAGUAGGGAAUCUUCCGCAAUGGGCGAAAGCUUGACGGAGCAACGCCGCGUGAGUGAUGAAGGUCUUCGGAUCGUAAAACUCUGUUAUUAGGGAAGAACAAAUGUGUAAGUAACUAUGCACGUCUUGACGGUACCUAAUCAGAAAGCCACGGCUAACUACGUG
rnacentral:rRNA from 1 species